rnacentral:rRNA from 1 species
GACGAACGCUGGCGGCGUGCUUAACACAUGCAAGUCGAACGGAAAGGCCCUGCUUUUGUGGGGUGCUCGAGUGGCGAACGGGUGAGUAACACGUGAGUAACCUGCCCUUGACUUUGGGAUAACUUCAGGAAACUGGAGCUAAUACCGGAUAGGAGCUCCUGCUGCAUGGUGGGGGUUGGAAAUUUUCGGCGGUUGGGGAUGGACUCGCGGCUUAUCAGCUUGUUGGUGGGGUAGUGGCUUACCAAGGCUUUGACGGGUAGCCGGCCUGAGAGGGUGACCGGCCACAUUGGGACUGAGAUACGGACCAGACUCCUACGGGAGGCAGCAGUGGGGAAUAUUGCACAAUGGGCGGAAGCCUGAUGCAGCAACGCCGCGUGCGGGAUGACGGCCUUCGGGUUGUAAACCGCUUUCGCCUGUGACGAAGCGUGAGUGACGGUAAUGGGUAAAGAAGCACCGGCUAACUACGUG